UCAAACUCUCGCACUUCACCCUCUCAAAGCCCUAAAAACCCUCACCCCUCUCACAGCCCUGCGACAAACCCUUGCCCCUCACUUGCAACCCUCUGCGUCUUGCCUCUCCCUCGAGGACCUUGUUGAUGUGCUCUUGCAUCUUCAAACCAAUAAGGACAUGGAGGUGCCACUCUCCACAGCCAACAUAAAGGCCGUCAUCCUGAGGACAUGUUCUUGGCUAGUACAGAGACCUCAUCAACGGUCCUAGAAUAGGCACUUGCAGAGCUCAUUAGAAACUCGAAAUCCCUCCAAAAAGCUCAAUUAGAGAUCAGGAGCGCAGUAAAUGGCAGGGAUACAGUAAAAGAAGCUGACCUCUUAAACCCCAGCUACUUAAGGUGCAUCAUCACAGAAACUCUAAGGAUGCACCUCCCUUUCCGUCUCCUACUCCCUCGUGAAUCGACUGAGUCAUGCGAAAUCGGUGGCUACCAUAUUCGAAAGAAGACUCGAGUUAUAGUGAAUGGUUAGGCCAUAGGGCGACACCCCGACUAUUGGAAAGAUCCCGAGAAGUUUGAACCUGAAAGGUUCAUUGAUAAUUCUGUCGAUUUUAGAGGCUAGCAUUUUGAAUUCUUGUCAUUUGGAGCGGGUAGAAGAGGAUGUCCCGGUAUAAUAUUUGGGCUCUCAAACAUGGAGUUAGCACUAGCCAAGUUACUUUACCACUUUGACUGGGAGGUCCCUAGUGGGAAGCCAGAGGAUUUGGACAUGACUGAGGCCUAAGGUGUGACUAUAGGGAGAAAAGCUGAUUUAAUUCUAAUUGCCCAUCCCAAAUUUUAGCAGAAUAGAGUUUCCAGAUGGUUUGGAAGAGGAGUGAAAAAGAUGAUUUUCAGAAGGAUUGAUGUUUUUAAUUAUAUUAUGCGUGGUUAGAUUUGGAUGUUUUUCAUGGAAAUUGUGUUGUGGCUCAUAAGAACCCCAAUCCCAAUGUUUUUCAUUGUAAUAUCAUGGAAUGAGUUUGAGCAUUUCUUUUCUCCA